rnacentral:rRNA from 1 species
UUCGAUGUCGGCUCUUCCUAUCACUGCCUCGCAGCGGGGGCCAAAUGUAGGAUUGUUCACCCACCAAUAGGGAACGUGAGCUGGGUUUAGACCGUCGUGAGACAGGUUAGUUUUACCCUACUGUUGGCCGGUAUCGCCAUAGUAAUCAGGCUCAGUACGAGAGGAACCGCCUGUUCGCGCAAUUGGUAAUGCGCUUACCUGAAAAGGUAAUGGCGCAAAGCUAUCACGCGUCGGCUAAUGACUGAACGCCUCUAAGUCAGAAGCCAUGCUAGGAGCGAUGCCAUCUGUCCCGGAGAUCGUCACCCGACUAGUUAUAGGCUUCGGCCCUGUAGCAUACCUUCAUCACAAUUCCAUGCGUUCUCUGGGGUAAAUCCUUUGCAGACGACUUAAUUCGAAUGGGGUAUUGUAAGCAGUAGAGUGGCCUUGCUGCUACGAUCUGCUGAGAU